rnacentral:rRNA from 1 species
AUUGAACGCUGGCGGCAGGCUUAACACAUGCAAGUCGAACGAGGUGAUGGUGCUUGCACUAUCACUUAGCGGCGGACGGGUGAGUAAUGCUUAGGAAUCUGCCGAUUAGUGGGGGACAACGUCUCCAACGGGAUGCUAAUACCUCAUACGUCCUACGGGAGAAAGCAGGGGGUCACUUGUGCCCUGUCGAUGAUAGAUGAGCGUAAGUCGGAUUAGCGAGUUGGUGAGGGAAAGGCCUACCAAGGCGACGAUGUGUAGCGGGUCUGAGAGGAUGAUCCGCCACACUGGGACUGAGACACCGCCCAGACUCCUACGGGAGGCAGCAGUGGGGAAUAGUGGACAAUGGGGGGAACCCUUAUCCAGCCAUGCCGCGUGUGUGAAGAAGGCCUUAUGGUUGUAAAGCACUUUAAGCGAGGAGGAGGCUCUUUUGGUUAAUACCCAAGAUGAGUGGACGUUACUCGCAGAAUAAGCACCGGCUAACUCUGUGCCAGCCGCCGCCGUAA